CGCUGGUCCGAUGGCAGUGGGUUAUCAGAACUUAUUAACAUUAGUGUCACUAAAGUUGGUAUACCACCCCCCCCCCACUGCUAAAUUUGACUGGCUAAA
ensembl:misc_RNA Y_RNA Y RNA